rnacentral:rRNA from 1 species
UACGUAGGGGGCAAGCGUUGUCCGGAUUUAUUGGGCGUAAAGAGCUCGUAGGCGGUUCCGUAAGUCGGGUUGUGAAAAAUCUGGGCUCAACCCAGUGGAGCACCCGAUACUGCGGUGACUCGAGUCCGGUUAGGGGAGGUGUGGAAAUUCCUGGUGUAGCGGUGAAAUGCGCAGAUAUCAGGAGGAACACCGACGGCGAAGGCAGCACUCUGGGCCGGUACUGACGCUGAGGAGCGAAAGCGUGGGAGCAACAGG